AAGCCAUGAUGAGGCACAAUCUUUGUAGAAUCUUGAAUCUAUCCCAUGCUUUAAAUAAUGAUUCUCCAUCUUCCUGAACAAAAUUUGUGAUGUAAUUCCUCAUAU